CCUACGGGUGGCUGCAGUGGGGAAUAUUGCACAAUGGGCGCAAGCCUGAUGCAGCCAUGCCGCGUGUGUGAAGAAGGCCUUCGGGUUGUAAAGCACUUUCAGCGGGGAGGAAGGCGGUGAGGUUAAUAACCUCAUCGAUUGACGUUACCCGCAGAAGAAGCACCCGCUAACUCCGUGCCAGCAGCCGCGGUAAUUCGGAGGGUGCAAGCGUUAAUCGGAAUUACUGGGCGUAAAGCGCACGCAGGCGGUCUGUCAAGUCGGAUGUGAAAUCCCCGGGCUCAACCUGGGAACUGCAUUCGAAACUGGCAGGCUAGAGUCUUGUAGAGGGGGGUAGAAUUCCAGGUGUAGCGGUGAAAUGCGUAGAGAUCUGGAGGAAUACCGGUGGCGAAGGCGGCCCCCUGGACAAAGACUGACGCUCAGGUGCGAAAGCGUGGGGAGCAAACAGGAUUAGAUACCCUUGUAGUC
rnacentral:rRNA from 1 species